GACGAACGCUGGCGGCGUGCUUAACACAUGCAAGUCGAGCGGAAAGGCCCUUUCGUUGGUACUCGAGCGGCGAACGCGUGCGUAACACGUGCGUAAUCUUCCCUUCACUUUAGGAUAACCUCAGGAAACGGUGGCUAAUACCCAAUACGACCAUUCUUCUCAUGCGGAUGGGGUGGUAGUGUGUGCGGUGUUGGCUGUGCUUUCUGGCUAUCAGCUUGUUGGUUGGGUAAGUGCGUACCAAGGCGUCGUCGGGUAGCCGGCCUGAGAGGGUGACCGGCCACACGGGGCCUGAGGGACGGAGCAGACUCGUACGGGAGGCAGCAGUGGGGAACAUUGCACAAUGGGCGGAAGCCUGAUCCAGCAACGCCGCGUGAGGGAUGCCGGGCUUCGGGUUGUAAACCUCUUUCUCCUGUGCCGAAGCGAAAGUGACGGUAGCAGGAGAAGAAGCACCGGCUAACUACGUG
rnacentral:rRNA from 1 species